rnacentral:misc_RNA from 1 species
AGUUUAAGUGCUUCAGCAAUAGCUUCCCCAAGAACUUUCUCUGAGCCGUACACGGCGGCGGUGUCAAAGUGCCUAUAUCCAAGGCUGAUGGCGUCUAGGAUCGCUGCUCUCAUGGCGGAUUCAAUAAAUGGGUCGGCAGCUGUGCCCAAUCCUAUCACUGGCAUGUCCCGAUUUCCAGAGGAUGAUCUCAGUUUCACCUGAGGUAUCUUCGUCGCCUGAGUCUCCAUUUGGUCAACCUGUCCUGAAUUCGAACUACAGAGAAAAUAUUAAGGCAGUGAGAAAAGCAGCCAG